rnacentral:rRNA from 1 species
GAUGAACGCUGGCGGCGUGCCUAAUACAUGCAAGUCGAGCGAACGGACGAGAAGCUUGCUUCUCUGGUGUUAGCGGCGGACGGGUGAGUAACACGUGGAUAACCUACCUAUAAGACUGGGAUAACUUCGGGAAACCGGAGCUAAUACCGGAUAAUAUUUUGGACCGCAUGGUUCAAAAGUGAAAGACGGUCUUGCUGUCACUUAUAGAUGGAUCCGCGCUGCAUUAGCUAGUUGGUAAGGUAACGGCUUACCAAGGCAACGAUGCAUAGCCGACCUGAGAGGGUGAUCGGCCACACUGGAACUGAGACACGGUCCAGACUCCUACGGGAGGCAGCAGUAGGGAAUCUUCCGCAAUGGGCGAAAGCCUGACGGAGCAACGCCGCGUGAGUGAUGAAGGUCUUCGGAUCGUAAAACUCUGUUAUUAGGGAAGAACAUAUGUGUAAGUAACUGUGCACAUCUUGACGGUACCUAAUCAGAAAGCCACGGCUAACUACGUG